AUACGAAGGGGGCUAGCGUUGUUCGGAAUUACUGGGCGUAAAGCGCGCGUAGGCGGACUGAUCAGUUGGGGGUGAAAUCCCAGGGCUUAACCCUGGAACUGCCUCCAAUACUGUCAGUCUUGAGUUCGGGAGAGGUGAGUGGAAUUCCUAGUGUAGAGGUGAAAUUCGUAGAUAUUAGGAAGAACACCAGUGGCGAAGGCGGCUCACUGGCCCGAAACUGACGCUGAGGCGCGAAAGCGUGGGGAGCAAACAGGAUUAGAAACCCCAGUAGUCC
rnacentral:rRNA from 1 species